rnacentral:lncRNA from 1 species
CACUUCACAACACAAGCUUCUCACAUUCACUGAAUGACUUUUCUGGGAAACAAAAAAGAAUAAUAAACACUGAUGAAUGACCUUCUACGGCAAUUCAACUAACUGAUUUACGUUAUCAGACAGCGGAACGUAUUCACUUCAAAACACUCCGAAUGAUUGAUAAACAGCAGCUGCGCUGAUCAAAACAUGGCUGCUGCCCCUAGCGGGGAUUUUUACAAUCUCCAUAUCUACAAAUCAAAACAAAACCUCAUCAAUUUUUCAGAUAUCUGCAGUUUCGUUGGAAAUUUUUCAAACUUCAUUAUUUUUAAGCAAUGCUGUAAUGUUUCCAGCAUAAGUAACUUUUACGUUCGUGUUUAAUAAUGUGCCACACCAAAUUCAUAGUCAUGUCACUUAGUUUCCAUGUAGGACUUGAAUGAAGGUACAAGAGCACUGUGGUUUUUGUGUAACAGACAACGACUCUACAAACGGCUAAAUCAUGAAAAUACACAUUCUAGGGUUCAUUUUAUGUUUCAUCCUGCAAUUUCGCUCAUUUUGCUGUGAAGAUUGCUCCAGUAAAAAUGGCGACUAUGAUACAAAGUGUCCUGGAGAGAAUGAUCCAAGCACGUAUGAUACGUGUUGCUGGAGUAAUUCCACGGUAUUUUGCUGUCCUGCAGUGGACCCUAAUGCAUUUUAUAUCAAUCCUACGUAAGUCCUCAUCUAACUUCAUCUUUGAUUUAUAUUUUUCAUAACUAUUAACUGUCAAAUUAAUAAUCUGGUGUCUAUAAAAAAAACCAAUUACAUUUUAUUGGGGCAUUUUUUUGUCACUGAAAUAAAAUUUUGCUUUUUUAAAGUUUUAUCAAGGGCUAAUUAUAGUAAAGAUAUUUCAAAAAAUCCUUGAACCCUUGCAAGAGAGAUCUUUCUUUUCCCCUCAAAAAUUCAUCAAAGGAAUUAAACCUCAGAAAACACUAUAUUUGGAAAGACGCGUUUAAAAGCGUCAUGAAUGUCACAAAAACAGGGCCUACAUUUGUAAUGUCCGUAACGCUCUUUUUUCAACAUAGCUCUUUUUGAGGUUUGAUUCCUUUAAUGAAACUUUGAAGGAAAGGAGAGCUCCUGCAAGGGAUGAAAGUUGUUUAAAAUUUUUUACUCCAAAUAAUUAGUCUUUUCAAAACUUUAAAAAGUCAAAACUUAAUUUCUGUAACAAAAAAAAGGGGGAAAAAUGCCCAAUGGUACUUAAAAACACUGAAAUGAUGAUCACUUUCUAAUCUUUGUGAAUUUUUUUUUUUUUUUUUUUUUUUUUUUUUGUAAAGUUUCAUCUUCCUGUAACCAAAGAUGUUCCUUUCCUUUGCUGCAAUGCAAACAUUGCAAGAUCC